rnacentral:tRNA from 1 species
AUUGACGUAUCAAAUUAACUACACCAAUUAAACUACAUAUGGUAGCCCACGCACAUUGUGCCUAAG